AUGGCGGCAAUGAAGCCAGCAUGGGGGAAUCCUAAGGGCAUUCACCCCAGAUCAGCUGGAGAAACCCUAUUCAUCGUUGAUUUCAUGACUAAAUGUGAUAGUGAGAUAGCCCUCAAUGGCACUCCGUGGAUGGUAGGAAAACAUGUUGUCUUGCUACAGAAGCUCAAUCCAACUCUCAAACCAUGUUUUGACAAGAUGGACAUUUGGGUGAGGGUGGUUGAUUUGCCCUUCGAUUGGAUGAACGAUCGAAAGGGAAAAAGAACCGCUUGUCUGGGUGGGACUGUUGAUAAGGUGGACGUGGGUGGCCUCGUCGGGGAGUGUGUACUCUAA
rnacentral:rRNA from 1 species